rnacentral:rRNA from 1 species
CAAACGACUCUCGGUAACAGAUAUCUCAGCUCUCGCAUCGAUGUAGAACGUAGCGAAAUGUGAUACUUGGUGUGAAUUGUAGAAUCUUGUGAACCAUCAAUUCUUUUAACGCAAGUUGCGCCUGAAGUCAUCAGGUCAAGGGCACAUCUUCCUGGGUGUCACGC